CCCUCUGGGGAGAGUGGAGGGGACCCAGGAGGCCAUGGGCAGACUCAAAAGGGCAACAACUUGUUUGGCUUUAGAAAAAAACUUGAGGUUUUUAUUAGUGUUAGUAUUUUGUAUUGUCCUUUUGAAUUGUUUAUUGACCAGCUUUUGUUUUAAAGUCCUAAUGGAGCAACUUCAUGCUGAAUUUGAGUCCUUCUUCCUGUCCAAAGCAAAGUCUUCUGCUUCUCCAGUGGAAGCUGUCUCUGUACCUUCUCUGGCGCUGCCUGGAGGCUGCAGGGAGCUCCGUGCCAUCUGCUGAACUUCUCCCAUUGUCCGGACACAUCAGCUGAGAGGACACCAGUCCCAGUACUGCUCUCUUUUCUCAGGCCAUGCCUGGAGGCUGCAAGGAUCUUGGGGCUGUCCACUGGAUUCCUCCUGGUCCUGACACAGCAGCUAAGAGGACACCAGUGCCAGUCCUGCCCACUUCCUUGGGACUUGCCUGGAGGCCACAGGGAGCUCGGGGCCAUCUGCUGGACUCCUUCUGUUGUCCCAGUGCAGAAGCAUAAAGGACACCAGUCCUAGUCCUUCCUUUUUCCUCAGAGCUCAGGAAAGAAGAGGACAAUCCCCCAUCAGCGUGGAUGCCCCCACCCCACAGGAGCUGGUGGCCUCGGUGCGUCUCGACCAGCACUGACCUGCCCAGGGGAUGCAGCUGCGAUGACUGAAGGUUGGCAAUUAAUGGAGUGAAGUGCUCAAGCACACCCAUCGGCUCUAAAUGGAUGUGUAAUCCUGUAGCUGCUCCCUGUUCAGCAAAGCUCUUCAGCGUGUACUUCAGUCGCAGAAAAAUCCGUGGGUCUCAAACACAUGUUGAGAG